rnacentral:rRNA from 1 species
GAUGAACGCUAGCUACAGGCUUAACACAUGCAAGUCGCGGGGCAGCAUGGGGGUUGCUUGCACUCCCCGAUGGCGACCGGCGCACGGGUGAGUAACGCGUAUCCAACCUGCCCUUCACCACGGGAUAACCCGGCGAAAGUCGGACUAAUACCGUAUGUUGUCCAUUGACGGCAUCCGAUUUGGACGAAAGGUUUGGCGGUGAAGGAUGGGGAUGCGUCCGAUUAGCUGGACGGCGGGGUGACGGCCCACCGUGGCGACGAUCGGUAGGGGUUCUGAGAGGAAGGUCCCCCACACUGGAACUGAGACCCGGUCCAGACUCCUACGGGAGGCAGCAGUGAGGAAUAUUGGUCAAUGGGCGUAAGCCUGAACCAGCCAAGUAGCGUGUAGGAGGACGGCCCUAUGGGUUGUAAACUGCUUUUAUGCGGGGAUAAAGUGGCCCACGUGUGGGUUUUUGCAGGUACCGCAUGAAUAAGGACCGGCUAAUUCCGUG